rnacentral:rRNA from 1 species
GGGGAAUAUUGGACAAUGGGCGAAAGGCUGAUCCAGCCAUGCCGCGUGGGUGAAGAAGGGCUUCGGGUUGUAAAGCACUUUAAGGUGGGAGGGAGGGCUGCAAGUUAAUACCUUGUAGGUUUGACGUUAACAAAAGAAUGAGCACCCGCUAACUUCCUGCCCAGCAGCCGCGGUAAUACGAAGGGUGCAAGCGUUAAUCGGAAUUACUGGGCGUAAAGCGCGCGUAGGUGGUUUGGUAAGAUGGAUGUGAAAUCCCCGGGCUCAACCUGGGAACUGCAUCCAUAACUGCCUGACUAGAGUACGGUAGAGGGUGGUGGAAUUUCCUGUGUAGCGGUGAAAUGCGUAGAUAUAGGAAGGAACACCAGUGGCGAAGGCGACCACCUGGACUGAUACUGACACUGAGGUGCGAAAGCGUGGGGAGCAAACA